UACGUAGGAUCCAAGCGUUGUCCGGAUUUACUGGGUGUAAAGGGUGCGCAGGCGGACUUAUAAGUCAGUGGUGAAAUCUCACAGCUUAACUGUGAAACUGCCUUUGAUACUGUAGGUCUUGAAUUAGGGAGAGAUUCGUGGAAUUCCGAGUGUAGCAGUGAAAUGUGUAGAUAUUCGGAAGAACACCAGAGGCGAAGGCAGCGAAUUGGCCCUAUAUUGACGCUCAGGCACGAAAGCGUGGGGAGCGAACAGG
rnacentral:rRNA from 1 species